rnacentral:rRNA from 1 species
AUUAAAGAGUUCUAUAACUCCCAAACCCAUGUGAACAUACCUAACGUUGCCUCGGCAGGUCGCACCUACCUUGUAGCACCCUACCCUGUAGGGCCUACCCGGGAGAUGCGGGUAAGCCUGCCGGCGGCCCACCAAACUCUGUUUGAUAUUGAAUUCUGAACAUAUAACUAAAUAAGUUAAAACUUUCAACAACGGAUCUCUUGGUUCUGGCAUCGAUGAAGAACGCAGCGAAAUGCGAUAAGUAAUGUGAAUUGCAGAAUUCAGUGAAUCAUCGAAUCUUUGAACGCAUAUUGCGCCCAUUAGUAUUCUAGUGGGCAGGACCGUUCGAGCGUCAUUUCGACCCUUAAGCCUUAGUUGCUUAGUGUUGGGAGCCUACGGCAACGUAGCUCCUCAAAGUUAGUGGCGGAGUUGGUUCACACUCUAGACGUAGUAAUUUUUUAUCUCGCCUAUUAGUUGGACUGAUCCCCUGCCGUAAAACCCCCAACUUAUCAAGGUUGACCUCGAAUCGGUUCAGACAAACUCGCUAAAUUGAAGCAUCUUAGUCAGCGAAGGAAAAGAAACCAACAGGGAUUGCCCUAGUAACGGCGAGUGAAGCGGCAACAGCUCAAAUUUGAAAUCUGGCCCUCGGGUCCGAGUUGUAAUUU